ACAUACUUCCUGUAGUUUGACUUGUUAUAGUUAUCUGGAGUCCGUCUCCCAUCUCAACCUACCCACCUCUUCCUGAAUAACCAUAAAUUCACACGGCUUAAAUAGGUUUGUAGAAAAAGAUACGUUCAUGUUAAAUAUGUGAGGUCAACGGGCAACAGAGGAAUAGCCAAUUCCAAGCCUGAUUUGAACGCAAAAAAAUUUCAAGACAGGAGCCAUUUUCCAUAUCAUAUUUUCUAAAUUUCCUGCCAGUACAGCUUCCUUCAUUUUUCAGAUACAACUUGCUCUUUCUGUGCUUGAUUUCAAGACUGAUUUGUCCUUGGAAUUCCUUGUGGAUUCUUGGCAUCUUGAAAUCAAUUGUCCAUGCCAGAUAGCAUAAGCAGAGGUCUAGAUGAGUAUAGGCACAUAUAAAGAGGCAACGGAGUUAAACCACGUCUGAGAUUCCAUAUUCCUUAUGGUUAUGUCCAGUGGACAGCCCAACUCCCUUUUAGAAUCUUGUUUCUUCUCAUACUCAUCACUUUUCUGCUAAAGUGUGUUUCUUUUCAUACUAAAACCUUCGCUUUUAUCCCCAAAUAGUUAUAUUUUCUUUAUAUUUCCACAUGCUCGUUUUUUCUUGAGGAAAAAAAUUACAAAAAUAAAAAGCCCAAGCGCUCAUCGCGCUAGAGAAGUGACCUUCAGUUUGAACGCGCUGAACCAACAGAAUGAGCUGCAGGAAGGCGGAAGCACUAGCGUGCUGGGCAUUCUGGGAACUGUAGUCGGAAGUAUUUUCACCCAGGCUGGUGGAGUCCUUGUCGUCGUUCCGCUUAAACAUUCUGGGAAGUGUGGGUCAGACGUUUCAUAUAGUCGACAACACUUCCUCUUCGGGAGUACAGGGUGUGGCCCUCUCGUGUGACUCCAGACUCUGGGAAGUGAGUCGCAGGAACUUCCGCUCCAGGGAAAGUUGCGGCCAUCAUGCUGCAUGUGAGACUUGAGCCCCAGCGACGCUUCUGCGCCUCCUCAGCCUGGGUGAACAGAGGAAUGACUUUGUCCCACACCUGUGAAGAUAAGCUAUCAAUUUACAUUACCAGGGUGAAAUUCAACAGAAAUGCUUUUGGAUAAAGAUGUUCAGGCCCACAGGGAAUUUCCUUGUCGACAAAUUGUGAAGGAGGAAGUUGAGUGAGGCCUGAGACAGCAAUGUUUCGUUUAGCCUGGCGGUGGCCCUCCUUGUCUUCAAGAAGAGCAUCCGUGGCUAGCAGUGGAAGAUGGGGUUGGGCCCCAGGUGAGUGACCCUUUGUCGAGUUUGCAGAAUUUGGUCUUGGCGGGUUGAGGAUCUCUUGUAUUUUGUGCGCUCUGUUCCUGCUCCAGGACUGACCAGGCAGUUCUGCCACCUUCUAGGGGUGUGAAAUUGGGAAGUAAUUCAAAAUGUAUGUGCCUAGCAUUCCUUUUAUGUAACAUGAGGGGAAUAGAAGUACCAAACCGAUGCAGUUCAGUGGAGAAUUAAAUGAGAUAGUCACAAGUAAAAGGUGGUAAGUGUGGUUCAUUUUAUUAAUUUUCUUUUAAUUUCCCGAGAAGCCCCAGUUACCUGAAAGCUUCUGUGAGCCUGGGAAGGGAUCAGAGUUCCACCUGCAGUGCUAUUUUGCCCCUUCUUUCUGAUCCUUACAGGAAGCAGGACAAUUCCUGGAUUCCCUUUUUAAAAAAGUGAGGGUGGGGGUGUGGGGAUGGGGGUGGGGGGUGGGGCGGGAAUCACUCCAGGCUACUGUAUGGGGAUGUCCUCUGUGAUUCGUGCAGGAGGGAGAUACAGUUCUGGUUUCUCGCAGAUGGUCACAGGAAUGAGGAAAGAAUGACUCUUUGGCUCCUAGCAGCAGAAUCUUAACUGAGUAUGACUUAGCAUCCUUCUUCUUUUUGUGUCAUCUCUCUUCUCAGGGCAGAAGAUAUUUACUAAUUAGCACAUUCUGCUAGCACAUCUGUGGGAAAAGAGAUGCGGUCUUACUGCGUUGACCAGGAUGGUCUCAAACUCCUGGCUACAGGCUAUCCUCCUGCCUCUGUCUCCCAAAGUGCUGGGAUUACAAGCGUGAGCCACCAGGCCUGGCCCAAUUGCUUCUUAACAACUUACUAUUCUUUGUUCACUACAGUGUAUACAUAACUGACUUUUUAUUUGGAGCUUCAUUUUGUAAUGAAGGCUCUGGUCACAUGUAAGACUUGUAUUAAAUAAAUUUGCCUGCUGUUCGGUUAA